CAGCUAUAACACCACGAGCGUAAAGUAUUUAGACAGUAAAACGUUUUGAAAUACCUCCUGCUAGGACAUUUGGAAGAAGUUAAUGUGAAGACAAAAAUAUUAUGAGUUAAUCAAGCGAUUUCUCCAGAAGAGGAAAUUGUGUCUGCCUCGUGGAAUGCGGCCGAAGAAAAUCGAACUACGCUGAAGGCCAGUUGUGUGUCCAUGAAGAGAAGCUGAGCAAUGGAAACACCAGGAGACGCUCCAGAGGGACAGAGACACGUCCGUCAGGAGAGACCUCCAUCCCCUGCACCCACUUGUGUGUCCAUGAGGAGUGACUGGUCAAAAGAUCACCCCAUCAACUUC